rnacentral:rRNA from 1 species
GUGGGGAAUCUUGCGCAAUGGGCGAAAGCCUGACGCAGCAACGCCGUGUGGGUGAUGACGGUCUUCGGAUUGUAAAGCCCUGUUGAGGGGGACGAGCAAGGACGGUACCCCUCGAGGAAGCACCGGCUAACUCCGUGCCAGCAGCCGCGGUAAUACGGAGGGUGCAAACGUUGUUCGGAAUCAUUGGGCGUAAAGCGCACGCAGGCGGUUUAUCAGGUCGGAUGUGAAAUGCCGGGGCUCAACCCCGGAACUGCGUUCGAAACCGGUAAGCUGGAGUCACGGAGGGAGAAGGGGAAUUCCUGGUGUAGGGGUGAAAUCCGUAGAGAUCAGGAGGAACACCGGCGGCGAAAGCGCCUUCUUGGACGAUGACUGACGCUGAGGUGCGAAAGCGUGGGGAGCAAACAGGAUUAGAUACCCUAGUAGUCC